UACGUAGGUGGCAAGCGUUGUCCGGAUUUACUGGGCGUAAAGGGCGCGUAGGCGGACUCUUAAGUCGGGGGUGAAAGCCCAGGGCUCAACCCUGGAAUUGCCUUCGAUACUGAGAGUCUUGAGUUCGGAAGAGGUUGGUGGAACUGCGAGUGUAGAGGUGAAAUUCGUAGAUAUUCGCAAGAACACCAGUGGCGAAGGCGGCCAACUGGUCCGAUACUGACGCUGAGGCGCGAAAGCGUGGGGAGCAAACAGG
rnacentral:rRNA from 1 species